AUACGGAGGAUGCAAGCGUUAUCCGGAUUUAUUGGGUUUAAAGGGUGCGUAGGCGGAUGAUUAAGCGUGAGGUGAAAUGCCACUGCUCAACAGUGGAACUGCCUCGCGAACUGGUUGUCUUGAAUGCUCCUGCCGUGGGAGGAAUGUGUGGUGUAGCGGUGAAAUGCAUAGAGAUCACACAGAACACCGAUUGCGAAGGCAUCUCACGAAGGGGUGAUUGACGCUGAGGCACGAAAGCGUGGGGAUCAAACAGGAUUAGAUACCCUGGUAGUCCACGCAGUAAACGAUGAUUACUCGCUGUUUGCGAUACACAGUAAGCGGCUUAGCGAAAGCGUUAAGUAAUCCACCUGGGGAGUACGUUCGCAAGAAUGAAACUCAAAUGAAUUGGCGGGG
rnacentral:rRNA from 1 species